rnacentral:lncRNA from 10 species
GAAAGCUAAAGAGCCUUUCCUCUUUUUUUCUCUUCAUCUGGUAAAAAUUUGCUCUGGAGUACGUCCCCUGAUUUCCCUUCUCCUCUCUCCCACUCUUCUCCCUUCCUUUUCCCAUUUCCGCACCUUUUCCUAAUCCUCUUUCCCAUUCCCUGUGUGUAUCUCUUCCUUCCCCAAGCCUGUGUCUGAGACAGCUGGAAAGGACAGGAAGAGUUUGGGUGUGGGGAGGAGCCGGAGCCAGGGCCGCUCCUUCUCACCCACUCACCCCAUUUCCAACCUGGAGCUUCAGAAAUACAAUCGAGGGUCAAAUUCAGUAACUAAUCAUUGGGUCGGUCCAGACCAAAAGAGAUGACACCGGGACAAUCUUGAAGCCACAUGAUCUCAGAGGCACAUGUGGAAGCAGCCUGGAUCCUGAGCCAUUAUUUGGAGGAAUGUCACCCAAAUGGAGUCACCUGGCCAGGGACAUCAGCUUUGGAUUUUGUGUAAAUGAAAAAUAAAUGUCUAUUUGGUUAAGCCAGAUUGUUUUACCUGCCUUGUGCACACGUUUGUGCUUGUGGGUGUGUGCAUGCCUAUGUGUGGGUGUGUGCAUGUGGCUUAUGCCACAACAUAUAUUUCUUAAUGCAGAUUUUAGUCAAAAACAUGUGAAAGCAAG